rnacentral:rRNA from 1 species
GACGAACCGUGCGAACGUUAUUCGGAAUCACUGGGCUUAAAGGGCGCGUAGGCGGGCUCGCAGGUCAGGGGUGAAAGCCCACGGCUCAACCGUGGAAGUGCCUUUGAUACCGUGAGUCUCGAGGGAGGUAGGGGCGUGCGGAACUUCCGGUGGAGCGGUGAAAUGCGUAGAUAUCGGAAGGAACAUCGGUGGCGAAAGCGGCGCGCUGGACCUCUUCUGACGCUGAGGCGCGAAAGCCAGGGAGCAACGGG